AGAAAUGGGGAACCCUCUCCCAAGGACA
rnacentral:tRNA from 4 species